AGUUUCAAUUGGUUAGACACAUGGGAAGCUUUUUCAAAGCUAAAACCAUCAGUAUCUGUAAAAGCAUUUGGAUCAGCUUGGGCCAUCUCUUUGCUUUCUUCACACCUGGGCAAGCUCAGUGACCAGCUCUAAGAUCAAUGAGAAAUAUUCCUUGGGCCAUUGACCUUUUGUUCAUUCUUUUUCUAGGUGUAUCUCCAGCCUUGUAAAGAACUAGCUUAGGAUUCCAGAAAUCAGUAUUCAGACUGAAAUCUUGGGACCAGAAUAACAUCAAAGCCAAAAUGCAAGUGGGAUUUCACAGCUUUAUCUCUAGCUUCAGUGGUUUCUUCUGUCUUCCUCAGCAACAGUAUUAUCGGUGCCAGAGCCCCCACUAUCCUGCUGACUAUACUAGACAUAAAAUACUGGUGAGUUGAAGUUUGAGACUAUGGGAAACACUGUAGCAAUGAAAGCCAC
rnacentral:lncRNA from 1 species